UACGUAGGCAGCGAGCGUUGUUCGGAAUUACUGGGCGUAAAGAGUGUGUAGGCGGUGCUCUAAGUUCGGUGUGAAAUCUCCCGGCUUAACUGGGGGGGUGCGCCGGAAACUGGAGUGCUCGAGCGUGGGAGAGGAAAGCGGAAUUCCUGGUGUAGCGGUGAAAUGCGUAGAUAUCAGGAGGAACACCUGCGGUGUAGACGGCUUUCUGGACCAUUGCUGACGCUGAGACACGAAAGCGUGGGUAGCAAACAGG
rnacentral:rRNA from 1 species